AGAGUUUGAUCCUGGCUCAGGAUGAACGCUAGCUACAGGCUUAACACAUGCAAGUCGAGGGGCAGCAUGGUCUUAGCUUGCUAAGGCCGAUGGCGACCGGCGCACGGGUGAGUAACGCGUAUCCAACCUGCCUUACACUCUUGGACAGCCUUCUGAAAGGGAGAUUAAUACAAGAUGUUAUCAUGAGUAAGCAUUUUCACAUGAUUAAAGGUUUACCGGUGUAAGAUGGGGAUGCGUUCCAUUAGAUAGUAGGCGGGGUAACGGCCCACCUAGUCUUCGAUGGAUAGGGGUUCUGAGAGGAAGGUCCCCCACAUUGGAACUGAGACACGGUCCAAACUCCUACGGGAGGCAGCAGUGAGGAAUAUUGGUCAAUGGACGAGAGUCUGAACCAGCCAAGUAGCGUGAAGGAUGAAGGUUCUAUGGAUUGUAAACUUCUUUUAUACGGGAAUAAACGAAUCCACGCGUGGAUUUUUGCAUGUACCGUAUGAAUAAGGAUCGGCUAACUCCGUGCCAGCAGCCGCGGUAAUACGGAGGAUCCGAGCGUUAUCCGGAUUUAUUGGGUUUAAAGGGAGCGUAGAUGGGUUGUUAAGUCAGUUGUGAAAGUUUGCGGCUCAACCGUAAAAUUGCAAUUGAUACUGGCAGUCUUGAGUA
rnacentral:rRNA from 1 species